rnacentral:rRNA from 1 species
UACGGAGGGUGCAAGCGUUAUCCGGAUUCACUGGGUUUAAAGGGUGCGUAGGCGGCCAGGUAAGUCAGUGGUGAAAUCUCUGGGCUUAACCCAGAAACUGCAGUUGAUACUAUUUGUCUUGAAUAUCCUGGAGGUAGGCGGAAUAUGUCAUGUAGCGGUGAAAUGCUUAGAUAUGACAUAGAACACCGAUAGCGAAGGCAGCUUACUACAGGAUGAUUGACGCUGAGGCACGAAAGCGUGGGGAGCAAACAGG